rnacentral:ncRNA from 1 species
GGAGCCUGCGGCUUAAUUUGACUCAACACGGGAAACCUCACCCGGCCCGGACACGGAAAGGAUUGACAGAUUGAUAGCUCUUUCUCGAUUCUGUGGGUGGUGGUGCAUGGCCGUUCUUAGUUGGUGGAGCGAUUUGUCUGGUUAAUUCCGAUAACGAACGAGACUCCGGCAUGCUAACUAGUUAUGCGGCCCCGAGCGGUCGGCGUCCAACUUCUUAGAGGGACAAGUGGCGUUCAGCCACACGAGAUUGAGCAAUAACAGGUCUGUGAUGCCCUUAGAUGUCCGGGGCUGCACGCGCGCCACACUGAGCGGAUCAGCGUGUGUCUACCCUUCGCCGAGAGGCGUGGGUAACCCGCUGAACCCCACUCGUGAUAGGGAUUGGGGAUUGCAAUAUUNNNNNNNNNN